AGCCUUCUGUAUCCGUGCUAAUUUCGUUACACAUCAGACCACAAAGGCUGAUGACACUUCCAAGAUAAGUGAAGCA
rnacentral:pre_miRNA from 1 species